GACGAACGCUGGCGGCGUGCUUAACACAUGCAAGUCGAACGGAAAGGCCCUGCUUUUGUGGGGUGCUCGAGUGGCGAACGGGUGCGUAACACGUGAGUAACCUGCCCUUGACUUUGGGAUAACUUCAGGAAACUGGGGCUAAUACCGGAUAGGAUCUCCUGCUGCAUGGUGGGGGUUGGAAAGUUUCGGCGGUUGGGGAUGGACUCGCGGCUUAUCAGCUUGUUGGUGGGGUAGUGGCUUACCAAGGCUUUGACGGGUAGCCGGCCUGAGAGGGUGACCGGCCACAUUGGUACUGAGAUACGGCCCAGACGCCUACGGGAGGCAGCAGUGGGGAAUAUUGCACAAUGGGCGGAAGCCUGAUGCAGCAACGCCGCGUGCGGGAUGACGGCCUUCGGGUUGUAAACCGCUUUCGCCUGUGACGAAGCGUGAGUGACGGUAAUGGGUAAAGAAGCACCGGCUAACUACGUG
rnacentral:rRNA from 1 species